rnacentral:lncRNA from 1 species
GGCUCGAGACAUGGAAUACUACACAAAUUCAUAGUAAAGCAUGGAACAAAAUGGCAUAACAUAAAUACGACACCCACAAGUAAUAGAAAACAGAGAAAAGUAAACAUAUUCGUAAUAAAGCAUGAAACAAGGUAUCAUAACAAGAAUAAUACCCCCACCAAGUAAUUCCUUACACUAGCGACCCAAAUUGACCCUAGCCUUAUGCCCUAAUUCG